ACCACUAUUCAAUCAAACCUCUUUCUCUCUCCUGUCAUUCAGCGGUUUCUCUCCCUCCUCAAAGAAACCCUAAAUCUGUCCACCACCACAUUAAUGCCGCCACCAUGGUGAUGAAGAUGAUGAAUACGAUUUUUGAGGAUUGCAAUUAUGGUGAUGAAGAUGAUAGUGACCAAUAGGUUAACCGAUUCGGCAGUGGACUGAUUGGUGUGGUACGGAUGAUUAUAAAGGUUAAAUUUACUUAUAUUGGCACAAUCAACACUGUUGUUCAUUACCAUCAAGGUGGCUAAAAGGCGAGAAACGUUGUUGAUUUAGCUUUUGUUAAGGUUGACCCCGACACUACCUAAUAUGUUCAAUGUUGAAUGUUUCAGUUUUGUAUUGCACAUACUUUACUAAAAGUGUUUGAUAGGGAUACUUAGUCGCAAGUGAUGGCUGCUAAAGGCUACCUGACUAGAAGAUCAUAAAAAAUAUUAAUUUCGAUGAGCAUAUGUGCUAUUUUUAGUAUGUUUUGGUUACUAUGUAAUCACAUGAAAGCUGUAGGUGGAGCAAAAGAGAGCAGCCCAAGUCUCUAGCCACUGCAACCGGCUCUAUCCUACAGUUAUAAGAUUAUGUAAGAACCAGAAUGUCGAUAAAACAUAUGGAAUCAUCAGGAUAGAAUACUAAUAAGUGGAGAUGAUCAAUGAUGGGUUGCAAAUGUCUUAUGUGCACUUCCAUUGACCUGCUGAAAGUUGAUUGUGAUUGGGAGCAACACUAAACUUUCCGAUGGAGAAGAUAAGUGGCAAUGGAAAAGAAGUUGUGAUGGGAGGAGAUCACAACCCAUUUGAACGAGGACACCUCUUUUGUUUCAUGGGAGCUUUUCUGAUAAUUUGAUACGUUUAUAGUGGUUCAGGGUAUGAAAUUAGGGGAAACUCAUGACAGAAAUGAUGGAAAUGGCUGGGGUUGAAAAGGAAGACUUUGAGUUAACUUAAAUGUUUAAGAAGCCAUCUUGAAGUAAUACAAGAAGACUUUUUUUUACCAAAGCCGAUAUGAAAUAACGUUUCUGAAAUUUGUCAAGAAGCACGAUCCUGGUGAUAGAUACCAUCUUCUCAGAGACCAUUUGUUAAUUGUAUCUGAACUUAAAGCAAAUUUAUAUGAAUUCCAAAAGUUCAAUAGAUAAUCUGGUGGCGAGGUGGAAAAGAAUUGAUGUUCGAGACUUGGAGCUGUGAAAGUACUAUGGUAGAGUUUUGGUUGCUUCUAUUAGUGGGAGAGGUUUAGAUCAGUAAUUUCAUGCAGUUCUUAAUGUUGGUAUAACGAUGAUUAAACAAGCACUGGGACUAGAGAUGUGGAUAAUCCUCAAUCCCAAUCUGAAUUAACAUGGAACCGUAUGGAACUAUCGGUGAUGUUGGAACAUGUGCAGUUUCACGUGGCUCCAACUGAUGUUGAUCCCGGGGCUGGACUUCAAUGGUUAUCAAUUCGUAGAAACUCCCACAAAGUAAAUCACACUGGGGCUGGACUUCAAUGGUUACUAUUAAAACGACAAAUGUAGUUUAUAAAGAAGUAUUUGGUGAUUUGUCAUUUUCAUGUACUCAUUUAUCUAUAAUUUUUUAUU